rnacentral:rRNA from 1 species
UGGGGAAUUUUGGACAAUGGGCGAAAGCCUGAUCCAGCAAUGCCGCGUGUGUGAAGAAGGCCUUCGGGUUGUAAAGCACUUUUGUCCGGAAAGAAAUCCUUGGCUCUAAUACAGUCGGGGGAUGACGGUACCGGAAGAAUAAGCACCGGCUAACUACGUGCCAGCAGCCGCGGUAAUACGUAGGGUGCAAGCGUUAAUCGGAAUUACUGGGCGUAAAGCGUGCGCAGGCGGUUUGCUAAGACCGAUGUGAAAUCCCCGGGCUCAACCUGGGAACUGCAUUGGUGACUGGCAGGCUAGAGUAUGGCAGAGGGGGGCAGAAUUCCACGUGUAGCAGUGGAAAAUGCGUAGAGAUGUGGAGGAAUACCGAUGGCGAAGGCAGCCCCCUGGGCCAAUACUGACGCUCAUGCACGAAAAGCGUGGGGGAGCAAAACAGGAUUAGAUACCCUGGUAGUCCACGCCCCUAAAACGAUGUCAACUAGUUGUUGGGGGAUUCAUUUUCCUUAGUAACGUAGCUAACGCGUGAAGUUGACCGCCUGGGGAGUACGGUCGCAAGAUUAAAACUUAAAUGAAUUGACGGGGUCAU